UGGGGAAUUUUGGACAAUGGGCGAAAGCCUGAUCCAGCAAUGCCGCGUGUGUGAAGAAGGCCUUCGGGUUGUAAAGCACUUUUGUCCGGAAAGAAAUCCUUGGCUCUAAUACAGUCGGGGGAUGACGGUACCGGAAGAAUAAGCACCGGCUAACUACGUGCCAGCAGCCGCGGUAAUACGUAGGGUGCAAGCGUUAAUCGGAAUUACUGGGCGUAAAGCGUGCGCAGGCGGUUUGCUAAGACCGAUGUGAAAUCCCCGGGCUCAACCUGGGAACUGCAUUGGUGACUGGCAGGCUAGAGUAUGGCAGAGGGGGGUAGAAUUCCACGUGUAGCAGUGAAAUGCGUAGAGAUGUGGAGGAAUACCGAUGGCGAAGGCAGCCCCCUGGGCCAAUACUGACGCUCAUGCACGAAAGCGUGGGGAGCAAACAGGAUUAGAUACCCUGGUAGUCCACGCCCUAAACGAUGUCAACUAGUUGUUGGGGAUUCAUUUCCUUAGUAACGUAGCAACGCGCGAAGUUGACCGCCUGGGGAGUACGGUCGCAAGAUUAAAACUUAAAUGAAUUGACGGGGUCAUAGCUGUUUCCU
rnacentral:rRNA from 1 species